GUCAGAAAAAAGAGAUGCAACGAUGGAAGCAGGGAUAGAGAGAUGCUGCCUCCAUGAAGGGAGGGGUCACAAGCCAAGGAAUGAGGGAAGCCUUUAGAAGCUGGAAAAGGCAAGAAAACUCCCCACAGAGCCUCCUGAAAGGAAUGUAACUCCACAAAGACCUUGAUUUUAGCCCCGUGGCACUGAUGUGGGAUUCUGACCUGCAGAAUUAUAGAAAUUUUAGACCUUAUUUAUUGCCAUGAUAUUAUGGUAAAUGAGGAUCAUCAUUGUUUCAACCCCUCAUUUCCUUGUCCCUCGAUUCCAUAGGACGCCUGCCACAGCAUGGCUUGAUAAGCAGUGCAGAGGUCCACACCUGGGAUCCCAACCGGUGAACCCCAAGCCACCAAAGCAGAGCACAAGAACUUAACUGCUAUGCCACCAGGCCAGCUCCUCGUGGUUCUGAUUCAUAUUUCCUUCAUGAUUAUGACAUUGAGCAUACUUUCAUGUACUUUUGCUUAAUUGUAUGUCUUAUUUGGAGAAAGUGUCUAUUUAAUUCCUUUGCCCAUAUUUUCAUUUGUUUUUUGUUUGUUUGUUUGCUAUUGAGUUAUUGGAGUUCCUUAUAUAUUUUGGAAAUUAGCCCUUAUCAGGUAUGUGGUUUAUAAAUAUUUUUUCCCAUUUCAUAGACUUUUAACUCUGCUGAUUCUUUUCUUUGUUGUGUGGAAGAUUUGUAGUUUGAUAUAGUCUUAUUUGUCUACUUUUGCUUUUGUAGCUUUUGCUUUUGGUGUCACAUCCAAGACAUCAUUGCUAAGAUCAAUGUCAUGGAGAUUUUUUCCUAUUUCUUCUUCUAGGCGUUUCAUAGUUUCAGGUCUUAUGUUUAGAUCUUUAACCCAUUGUGAGUUUAUUUUUGUGUUCAGAGUAAGACAAGGAUCCCAAUUUCAUUUGUUUGUAUGUAGAUAUUCAGUUGUCCCAACACCAUUUGUUGAAGAGGCCAUCCUUUCCCCAUCGUGUAUUCUUGUCACCUUUGUUGACCAUCAGUUGGCCAUAUGUGCAUGGGUUUAUUUCUAGGUUCUCUACUUUGUUCCAUUGGUCUUUGUCUGUUUUUAGACCAGUACAAUACUGUUUUAAUUACUGUAGAUUUGUAACAUAUUUUGAAAUCAGGAAAUGUGAUGCCUCCAUCUUUAUUCUUUGUCUGGUUUGCUUUGGCUAUUCAGGGUGUUUUUUGGUUCAAUAUGAAUUUUAGAAUUAUUUUUCUAUUUCUGUAAAAACUGUGUUUGGUAUUUUUGUAGAUAUGCAUUGAAUCUGUAGAUUACUUUGCAGACUAUGGACAUUUUAACAAUGUUGUCUUCCAAUCCAUCUAUUUACUUCUAUCUUCUCUAAUUUUUUUCAUCAAUGUUUUGUAGUUUUCAGUGUAUAUUUUUCACCUCCUUGGUUAAUUUCAUUCCUAAGUAUUUUAAUCUUUUUGGUGCUAUUAUAAAUGGGAAAGUUUUCCUAAUUUCCUUUUCAGAUAGCUCAUUUUUAGUGUAUAGAAUAACAACC
rnacentral:lncRNA from 1 species